AUUGUCGUUUUGGUUUGAGAUAGGAAGAUGAGGGGAGGAAGGAGGUGAGGCGGUAAGGGGCGUUCUCUCUCUUGGGUCCCGCGCCCAACUUCCGCUGGCCCAAAGAAACUAUAAUUUUGAACCAACAGACCUCUGCUGGCAUCUGCGAUUGCAUUUUUCCUGUUUUAACAACGGCUGUGCUAAACGAAGUAGUAAAGCCCAAAGACUUACUUUUGAACUCGCUGUAAGACUGAGAAAUUACGUAGUCCUUCCUGAAACCACUAAGAGGAAAAAUGAUCUAAAGUGGGCAACUAGGCUGGGCACAGUGGCUGACACCUGUGAUCCCAGCACUUUGGGAGGCGGAGUCUGUGACACUGCAUACAGAUGUAGGUGAUAUUAAAAUUGAAGUCUUCUGUGAGAGGACACCCAAAACAUGUGAGACGGAGUCUCGCUGUGUCCCCCAGGCUGGAGUACAAUGGCGUGAUCUCGGCUCACUGCAACCUCUGCCUCCUGGGUUCAAGCAAUUCUUCUGCCUCAGCCUCCCCAGAACUGGAAGAGGAGGCAACAGUAUCUGGGGCAAGAAGUUUGAGGAUGAAUACAGUGAAUAUCUUAA
rnacentral:sRNA from 1 species